rnacentral:rRNA from 1 species
GAUGAACGCUGGCGGCGUGCCUAAUACAUGCAAGUCGAGCGAAUGGAUUAAGAGCUUGCUCUUAUGAAGUUAGCGGCGGACGGGUGAGUAACACGCGGGUAACCUGCCCAUAAGACUGGGAUAACUCCGGGAAACCGGGGCUAAUACCGGAUAACAUUUUGAACCGCAUGGUUCGAAAUUGAAAGGCGGCUUCGGCUGUCACUUAUGGAUGGACCCGCGUCGCAUUAGCUAGUUGGUGAGGUAACGGCUCACCAAGGCAACGACGGGUAGCCGGCCUGAGAGGGCGACCGGCCACACUGGGACUGAGACACGGCCCAGACUCCUACGGGAGGCAGCAGUGGGGAAUAUUGCGCAAUGGACGAAAGUCUGACGGAGCAACGCCGCGUGAGUGAUGAAGGCUUUCGGGUCGUAAAACUCUGUUGUUAGGGAAGAACAAGUGCUAGUUGAAUAAGCUGGCACCUUGACGGUACCUAACCAGAAAGCCACGGCUAACUACGUGCCAGCCGCCGCAGUAA